CUGUGACUCCUGCGUUGUGCUCUGCCGGACUCCUGCGUCUUGUCUACGGCAGCAGGAGCGUGCGGUGUGGGUGCCCACAACCCUCUCUCCUCCCCGCUACUCCCUUCCUCGUCAAUACAGCCGCCGCGCCACCACCCUCGUUCGGUCCUUCCUCCCCCUGCGGCCAGGAGGCGAGCCCUCACCGCGAGGAAGCCACGGAAGGAGGAGCUCAACCGGGCGUCGCCGGCCGGAGAAGGAGGAGAGGCGCGGAUGCCAGCCAGGGAGGCAGAUCGGCUCGCCUCCGUCGUCAAUACAGCCGCCGCGCCACCACCCUCGUCCGGUCCUUCCUCCCGCCCCCACAGCCCCAAAAGCUCUGCCGCUUCUUUCGGCGAGAUCCAUCGUCUCCUGAGGGCCUUAUGAACCCUAGCUCGCGAGGAAGCCUCGGGAGGAGGCGGAUCGGCUCGCCUCCGCUGCUGGAAAGGGCUCGGUGGUAAAUUUGGCUUGUUCUCAUAUCUCAGCGAGUCAUGUAUUUUGUAUGGAUCUAUCAUGCUGGGAUUAGUUGUAGACUUCCUUGCUGAACCCUACAGGGAGCAACGCAUCCCCAGUUUGCUUCCAGAGGAGGCAGGGGAAGAGGUGAACCUGCUUGUUCUUCAUUGAUUCCUAAAUAAAUAUCUAAUCUGUAAUAUUUUGUUAUAUCUCUGCUCAGUUACAAUUACAACAUGGGGCUUCAAGUGUCUAUUACUGUGGAUCACCAAUAUUUUGUUAUAUCCGUGCAUUUUAGUUACGACUAAGUGCCACACCAAUGAAUGUGAAUGUCUGUUCAGGUAAUAAGUAUCACCAUUAGCAAUUUCGGUUUGUCCCCAUAGUCUAUGUGUGUCCCAUGUCCUUUCAGUACCUUCUGCUAUUUUCCUGCAUUUUCGCGUACCAUGCUGUAAUGUUGCAUUAGUUUUUGGCCGAAAAUUCUUGCCUAGAUAUGGCCAUUUUAAUUUUGCUACACCAUGGUUAGUUAGCUGAGCUAUUUAAAUACAAUUUCAGGGUUUUCUUGUUGCUGCUAUUCCUCGUGGAUAUUCAAGAGGCAACUUGGCACCUAAUGUCAGCAACGUGCUUAUCGGUGACGAGGGAAAUGAAAGAAGGCUGCAAUGGAAUUUGUACUAGUAUGCUCUCUGAAGAUCAGAUUUUGGCCAUAUAAUUUCCGGUGACUGGAAGUCUGAAACUGAAGAUAAGGCAGAUUGUUUUGAUUCCGAUUACUUGGAGAUCUUGUGGCUUGCUGUCCCUGGAUCAGUCAGACCUACGGCAGCAUCAACUCGUUGAUCCUAGAGGCCAUGGUUCUCGAGGUAAGAAAUAUAAGCAUACUAGAGAGAAUCCCUGUGCCAUAUGAACAAAUCUCUUUCUCAUCCAUGCAAUCUCUUCAUAUCUCAAAUCCCCGCUGGAGUGCCUUCACCUUGAUAUCGGCACAUACGACUUCAGGAUGGUUGUAAUAUUUCUUUUAGAGGAUCUGCACUUCGAGGAAAUUAGAGAAUGCUGAUUUAAAAACAAAGUAUAUGUAAGCUAUUAGGAAGCCUGAAAGAUUCAUAAAAAUAGUAAGCAUAUGAGUUCUGAUAAAUCAAACGGCACCUCUUAUCAAUCAUUGUAAUGGAUGUUCUGCAAGAUAAACAAUAUUUGACUGGCUCCCCUUAAUUAGUGGGACUUGAGAGUAAUGUAGAAUGUUUAUUUUAGCAGUCUUUAAGGUGCAAAAUAUGUGUUCUAUGAUACCAGUUUCUUGCUUUAUUUUGCUAACUGAUCACAACUACCAUUUCAGUGAACACAUUAUGAGCUGGAAAUUGUACAUUAGAAACUCUUGACAACACAUUGCAAGUUCCAUGUUGGGAUCCUUCGCUAUAUAUUCCAGACAGAAGAUUGAAUGGAAAAUCAAGAUGAACAUUUGUGUGUGUGUGAGAAUUUAUAUCUCUUUACUUAAUCUGAAAUCUAAAGUAGUAAUUCUCAGCCUGUGGGCUAUGAGGUGACGCUCGAAGUGACAGAAAAGGAAGAUAUUUGGGCAUAUGAACCCUGGAAAGAGUUUGAUGGUAGCAUAAAGAAAGCAGGUAGUCGGUACCAAAUGAAGAGAAAUAUUGGAAUCAUGUCAUUCCUACUUCAUAGCUAUACAGGAGCCAGUUUUCCGGUUGAUCCGAGAUAUAUUUGCUGCUAUACCAAGUGCAACUUUUCUUUAUAGGGGAAACGUUUUCCUACAUUUUUUUAAAACAGUAUGGUCCUUCUAUGGUAGCAAACUCUGGUCAAGUAUCUUUCAUUUCCUAUAUUGAGAAGUAGCUUUACUUUUUCUUGACAGUAUGGUUGUGUUAACUGCUAAAUGCUAAGGUUCCUUUGUUUGUUGGCAUAAAUUUCCCUGAUUCCUUCUGAUCUGGAAAAGCUUACUUUGGUAUUGUGUCAGUUCAGUUUUGCAUGCUUGCUCAUAGAUAAUGCAUCUCACCAGAACGACAAUGCUUAUAUAUAGCUGCAACAGUUAUGUUAUACUUCUGCACUACGCCUCAUGCGUGUGUUUAUUGCAUCAUUAUGGAGUCCACUUGGAUUGUCAUAUUAUUAAUUGUAAGGUGAAAUAGGUAUAAAAAUGGAUAUGAAGUAAUGCCAAGUUAAAAGUGAAUUUUGUUAGACUGAAAAUAUUUUUUUCAUGGUAUUGUGCUCCAGUGAUUUGAAAAUUCGCAAUGCACCGUUGUUGUAGUAUUAGCCUUACUUAAUUCUUCUAUGUGUUCUUGCACCUCCCGAUCACUGUUUUUUGGCCUAGGACCAUUUACAUGUCAAGCAUGAGAUUUAUGUGUCAAUUAAAUAUGUUCCAUUACUGUUCUUCUUUUUGCAAGAUUGACUUGUUCCAUCCCAUCCAUUGUAUGGUUUGAAGAGAAUAAUUUUUAAUUUUGCUGCUCUUAUUCAAAAAAGUUUAUCACCAUCCACUGCUGUUUGUGUGCUUGAUUUAUGUCAUUUUGUCAAGUGGCAGUACACAUGCAUUAGCCACAUGAUAUCUACCUUCUAAAUAGCCACAUUGCUUUAUGGAAUGGAUGCAAAAUAGCUGAAUGGAACCCACAGGUGUAGUUUUUAUAGCGAGUUUUACAAGGUUUUACCUUUAUUCUAUGGGUCAUGGUUGAUAUAAUUUUGGUGUUCUGAGUGUAAUCUUUGUUUGUGCCUUUCUUUUACCAGACUAUGUUAUAGAAAGAGUCAAGAUACUUCAACAGUGGUAGCCCAAUGGGGUAGUUCCUAAGUAUGUUCUGUUUCUAAAAAAAAGGUCCUAAGUAUUGCUGGGAGAGAUGGCCAGACUGCUGGACCACCCUACAAGAAAUCAGUGGCAUGAAUGUGCUUCUACAGAAUUUGUGGCAUAUGCAAAAAUACGUACACAUGUCUUGCCUCACAAUGCCCUCUGGGUGAAACCACCACUAUAAUUUGUCAUUUCAAGUUUGUCCUUCCAUUGUAGCAGACCAACAUGUCCUUGUUUCUUUAAUUGAUUUCUCAUUUUAUGUUUGCACUUCUACUACAACAGAACAACAUGUCAUAAACAUGGCGCUGAGCAUUGUUUGUCCAGCUCCCUUCAAGACAGAGAUGUAGAGAGUGGCUCCAUCACUGAAGAGAGGACAAACGUUGUGCAAGGCAUUUUUGUCCAGCUCCUUUCACAAAUGAAGGAAUUACCGUGCAUUGUGAAGGAUUGUGACGGACAAGGUGCAAUGAAUCCAGAGGAGUGGGAGGGGAGAGUUUACCAACAAUGUUUCAAGGACAAAGUGUGACCUGGAUUCCUAAGUUAUAGCCAGCGUAGCAAAAUUGUAUAAAAAGAAUGCCCGCAUUUUGAAAACUCUAUUACAUAAUUUGAGGCUACGUUCCUUCCAA